UUGUAGGCUGCAACCUGCCUACAUGAAGUUGGAAUUGCUAGUAAUCGCAGAUCAGAAUGCUGCGGUGAAUACGUUCCCGGGCCUUGUACACACCGCCCGUCACACCAUGGGAGCCGGUAAUACCCGAAGUCAGUAGUCUAACCGCAAGGGGGACGCUGCCGAAGGUAGGAUUGGCGACUGGGGUGAAGUCGUAACAAGGUAAC
rnacentral:rRNA from 1 species